rnacentral:rRNA from 1 species
GACGUAGGGGACGAGCGUUGUCCGGAUUCAUUGGGCGUAAAGCGCGCGUAGGCGGCCACGCAAGUCGGGUGUGAAAUCCCGGAGCUCAACUCCGGAGCUGCACUCGAAACUGCGCGGCUUGAGGUAGGUAGGGGAGAUCGGAAUUCCUGGUGUAGCGGUGGAAUGCGUAGAGAUGUGGAGGAACACCGAUGGCGAAGGCAGCCUCCUGGGCCAGCACUGACGCUCAUGCACGAAAGCGUGGGGAGCAAACAGG